GUAGGUGGCAAGCGUUGUCCGGAAUUAUUGGGCGUAAAGCGCGCGCAGGUGGUUCUUUAAGUCUGAUGUGAAAGCCCCCGGCUCAACCGGGGAAGGUCAUUGGAAACUGGGGAACUUGAGUGCAGGAGAGGAAAGUGGAAUUCCACGUGUAGCGGUGAAAUGCGUAGAUAUGUGGAGGAACACCAGUGGCGAAGGCGACUUUCUGGCCUGUAACUGACACUGAGGCGCGAAAGCGUGGGGAGCAAACAGGGAUUAGAUACCCUGGUAGUCCACGCCGUAAACGAUGAGUGCUAAGUGUUGGGGGGGUUUCCCGCCCCUCAGUGCUGCAGCUAACGCAUUAAGCACUCCGCCUGGGGAGUACGGUCGCAAGACUG
rnacentral:rRNA from 1 species